rnacentral:rRNA from 1 species
CCUACGGGGGGCAGCAGUGGGGAAUAUUGCACAAUGGGGGAAACCCUGAUGCAGCAACGCCGCGUGAGUGAAGAAGUAUUUCGGCACGUAAAGCUCUAUCAGCAGGGAAGAAGAUGACGGUACCUGAGCAAGAAGCCCCGGCUAACUACGUGCCAGCAGCCGCGGUAAUACGUAGGGGGCAAGCGUUAUCCGGAUUUACUGGGUGUAAAGGGAGCGUAGGCGGGAAGACAAGUCUGGAGUGAAAGCCCGGGGCUCAACCCCGGGAGUGCUUUGGAAACUGGUUGUCUGGAGUGCUGGAGAGGCAGGCGGAAUGCCUAGUGUAGCGGUGAAAUGCGUAGAUAUUAGGAAGAACACCAGUGGCGAAGGCGGCAUGCUGGACAGUAACUGACGUUGAGGCUCGAAAGCGUGGGGAGCAAACAGGAUUAGAUACCCCUGUAGUC